ACGGGUGAGUAAUACAUCGGAACGUAUCCUGGAGUGGGGGAUAGCCCGGCGAAAGCCGGAUUAAUACCGCAUACGCUCUGAGGAGGAAAGCGGGGGACCUUCGGGCCUCGCGCUCAAGGGGCGGCCGAUGGCGGAUUAGGUAGUUGGUGGGGUAAAGGCCUACCAAGCCGACGAUCCGUAGCUGGUCUGAGAGGACGACCAGCCACACUGGGACUGAGACACGGCCCAGACUCCUACGGGAGGCAGCAGUGGGGAAUUUUGGACAAUGGGGGCAACCCUGAUCCAGCAAUGCCGCGUGUGUGAAGAAGGCCUUCGGGUUGUAAAGCACUUUUGUCCGGAAAGAAAUCAACGGGGCCAAUACCCCUGGUGGAUGACGGUACCGGAAGAAUAAGCACCGGCUAACUACGUGCCAGCAGCCGCGGUAAUACGUAGGGUGCGAGCGUUAAUCGGAAUUACUGGGCGUAAAGCGUGCGCAGGCGGUGCUGUAAGACCGAUGUGAAAUCCCCGGGCUUAACCUGGGAACUGCAUUGGUGACUGCAGCGCUGGAGUAUGGCAGAGGGGGGUGGAAUUCCACGU
rnacentral:rRNA from 1 species